AAGUCGUAACAAGGUCUCCGUAGGUGAACCUGCGGAGGGAUCAUUAAAACGUAUCCACGUAUAAACCUUUGUGAACUUGUUUAACACUAAACAAUACCGAAUUUGAAUGAUGGCGCGCCAGACUGUAGGAGCAAUCAGGAGUAGUUCUUUUACGGUUAGCUAUCAUUCGGGUCUCCUAUUUUUACAACUAUUAUUCACCCUAUUUAAACUUUAUUGUACUAACGAGUUCAACGCUAACGCGUUCUACUUGAAAAAUAAGAAAUUAACGCACAACUCUUAGCAACGGAUAUCUAGGCUCUC
rnacentral:misc_RNA from 1 species